rnacentral:pre_miRNA from 1 species
CUAGUACUCCCUCCGUCUAACAAAAAAUGUAUUGUCAAAAUUUGGAUGUAUUUAGAUGUGACUUACUAAUAUUGUAUAGAUGCGUUCAAAUUUAGUCAAAGUUAAGACAUUUUUUGUUAGACGGAGAGAAUACUGG